AACGAACGCUGGCGGCAUGCUUAACACAUGCAAGUCGAACGUGAUCCCUGCCUUCGGGUGGGGUGAAAGUGGCGGACGGGUGAGUAACGCGUGGGAACCUGCCUGGUGGUUGGGGAUAACUGCGGGAAACUGCGGCUAAUACCCGAUGCGCCCCUGGAGUGAGUCCGGGGGAAAGAUUCAUCGCCAUUGGAGGGGCCCGCGUCGGAUUAGGUAGUUGGUGGGGUAACGGCCUACCAAGCCUUCGAUCCGUAGCUGGUCUGAGA
rnacentral:rRNA from 1 species